rnacentral:rRNA from 1 species
UACGUAGGGUGCAAGCGUUGUCCGGAAUUAUUGGGCGUAAAGAGCUCGUAGGCGGUUCGUCGCGUCGGCUGUGAAAACCCGGAGCUCAACUCCGGGCCUGCAGUCGAUACGGGCGGACUUGAGUGUUGCAGGGGAGACUGGAAUUCCUGGUGUAGCGGUGAAAUGCGUAGAUAUCGAGAGGAACACCUGCGGCGAAGGCGGGUUGCUGGGCUGACACUGACGCUGAGGCGCGAAAGCCAGGGGAGCGAACGGG